GAAAUGCGAUACUUGGUGUGAAUUGCAGAACCGUGAGUCAUCAGAUUUUUGAACGCAACUGGCGCCGACUGGCUCUCCGGUCGGCAUGCUUGUUUCAGUGUCUUUUUAUCUCAUCCCCCACAUCUUAAUGCUGGAGAUGCCCUUCUCUGGUUAAGCACGAAAGCACACUGACGUCUGCAGGUGAUCUCAGCUCGUCUGAGGGUCACACUCAAUGCAGCAGUCACAUUGAUAACAGUGUGAACUCAUUGUGAGUAGACUCAGCGCAGUUUAUCUGCACAGUGCUUAGACACUCUAAACUUUCUUGUAUCUGAAAUCAAGCAGGACCACCCGCUGAACUUAA
rnacentral:misc_RNA from 1 species